CCUUUUUGCAUACAAGGUAUUGAAUAAGAUUUUAAUUGAAUGCUAAGAGAAUGGACUCUCAGAGAAAAACUUUUUUUAAAUUAAAAAUUGAAAUUUUUUUAAUUUGUGCAGAAACAAUUAUUAAUAUUAAGGACAAGAAGACCCUAUGAAUUUAUUAAAUUUCAUUCAAUAUGUAAUUACUAUUGAAGAAAUUUUGGCUGGGGCGGCUAAAAAAUAUUUUAAACUUUUUAAAAAUAAAAUGAUCCAUUAUUAAUGAUUAUAUGUUAAAUACUCUAGGGAUAACAGCGUUAUAUUUUUUGAUAGACCAUAUUGACAAAAAAGUUUGCGACCUCGAUGUUGGAUUAGGAUACUUUUUUAAUGCAGAUAUUAAAAAAAGAAGUUUGUUCAACUUUCAAUUUCCUACAUGAUCUGAGUUCCAACCCGGA
rnacentral:rRNA from 1 species